GUACAGGUGCUAUGCGAUGUGAUUUCGUUUGAGUGCGAAAGUGCGAGAGAUUGCAACCUUGAGGCGCUUGUCUAUUUGCAAGAUUGGCUUUGUUUACGGGCCACUCUUUUAUGCGACGCUCACUUGGGU
rfam:Campylobacter curvus 525.92, complete genome.